rnacentral:rRNA from 1 species
CGGAGAGUUUGAUUCUGGCUCAGAACGAACGCUGGCGGCGUGGAUAAGACAUGCAAGUGGAACGCUGGCUGCGGGGUAGCAAUAUUCCGCAGUUGGAGUCGCGAAAGGGUGAGUAACACGUGGGUAAUUUGCCGCGAAGACUGGAAUAAUCCCGCGAAAGCGGGACUAAUACCGGAUGUGACUCCCGGGGGAAGGUCCUGGGAUUCAAAGCUGGGGACCGCAAGGCCUGGCGCUUCGCGAUAAGCCCGCGUCCUAUCAGCUAGUUGGCGGGGUAAUGGCCCACCAAGGCUAAGACGGGUAGCUGGUCUCAGAGGACGACCAGCCACACUGGAACUGAGACACGGUCCAGACACCUACGGGUGGCAGCAGUCGAGAAUUUUUCACAAUGGGCGAAAGCCUGAUGGAGCGACGCCGCGUGGGGGAUGAAGGGCUUCGGCUCGUAAACCCCUGUCAGUCGGGAGCAACCCCUUGAUGCUAAUACCAUCAAGGCUGAUAGUACCGACAGAGGAAGGGACGGCUAACUCUGUGCCAGCAGCCGCGGUAAUACAGAGGUCCCAAGCGUUGUUCGGAUUUACUGGGCGUAAAGGGUGCGUAGGCGGCCGGGUAAGUUUGAUGUGAAAUCUCCAGGCUCAACCUGGAAACUGCAUCGAAUACUAUCCGGCUCGAGGGUUGGAGGGGAGACUGGAAUUCUCGGUGUAGCAGUGAAAUGCGUAGAUAUCGAGAGGAACACCAGUGGCGAAGGCGAGUCUCUGGACAACUCCUGACGCUGAGGCACGAAAGCUAGGGGAGCAAACAGGAUUAGAUACCCUGGUAGUCCUGGCUGUAAACGGUGCGCAUUUGCUGUGGGCGGAUUCGACCCCGCCCGUGGCGUAGCUAACGCGUUAAAUGCGCCGCCUGGGGAGUACGGUCGCAAGAUUAAAACUCAAAGAAAUUGACGGGGGCCUGCACAAGCGGUGGAGUAUGUGGCUCAAUUCGAUGCAACGCGAAGAACCUUACCUGGCCUUGACAUGCGUGUAGUAGAAGGGUGAAAGCCCGACGAGGUGUAGCAAUACACCAGCAUGCACAGGUGCUGCAUGGCUGUCGUCAGCUCGUGUCGUGAGAUGUUGGGUUAAGUCCCGCAACGAGCGCAACCCCUGUGUCCUGUUGCCAUCCAAACGAGAGUUUGGAGCACUCUGGACAGACUGCCUCGCUACAACGAGGAGGAAGGUGGGGAUGACGUCAAGUCAGGAUGGCCCUUAUGGCCAGGGCUGCACACGUACUACAAUGCCCGGCACAGAGGGUUGCAAUACGGUAACGUGGAGCUAAUCCCUAAAACCGGGCCCAGUUCAGAUUGUCGUCUGCAACUCGACGGCAUGAAGCUGGAAUCGCUAGUAAUGGCGCAUCAGCUACGGCGCCGUGAAUACGUUCCCAGGCCUUGUACACACCGCCCGUCACAUCAUGAAAGCCGGCUGUACCCGAAGUCGCCCCUUGCGGGUGCCGAAGGUAUGACCGGUGAUUGGGAUGAAGUCGUAACAAGGUAGCCGUAGGGGAACCUGCGGCUGGAUCACCUCCUUUCU